rnacentral:rRNA from 1 species
CAGCCGCCGCGGGAAAACGUAGGGUGCAAGCGUUAAUCGGAAUUACUGGGCGUAAAGCGUGCGCAGGCGGUUUGUUAAGACAGAUGUGAAAUCCCCGGGCUCAACCUGGGAACUGCAUUUGUGACUGGCGGGCUAGAGUAUGGCAGAGGGGGGUAGAAUUCCACGUGUAGCAGUGAAAUGCGUAGAGAUGUGGAGGAAUACCGAUGGCGAAGGCAGCCCCCUGGGCCAAUACUGACGCUCAUGCACGAAAGCGUGGGGAGCAAACAGGAUUAGAUACCCCAGUAGUCCCUGUCUCUUAUAC